UUUUAUUACAGAGACUUAAGGUGCUUGAUAGAGAUUUGAGGCGUUUAUUUGGCCAGGAUCAGGCCCAAUCUUGCCAUCGUUCGGAGACAGUCGGUGUGUAGGCGCACCGCUUCUCCCUUUCUCCCACUUCUUACCUUAAUUUACUGUAUAACCUUCUCCUUAUAUUAUAGUUUAUUCAGCGUCCUUUCUGACGCGCGGCACACCAACUUCCGAAACACAAAUUGCUGCUGCGCAAACUUCUUGACGCGACGUCGCCUACGAUCUCCUGGGGAUCAACCUACUCUACUUCAUCCUUUACAGACGUCAAAUUCGCUGCUGCCUUUGUGGACAGUGCAAAUUUCCACCAUCCCGUGGAGCGGACAUUUUCGCCCUCCCUCACCGUUGCCUACCCGCCCUUAACUGGGCGGGGUUGAUCCGGGGAGGGAUUCAAGAACUCUUUUCGAAGGUGACCGGAAUACAGCCGGGAUGCAGUAGAUGACAUCUAAACAAGCCUGGAUGACUCAAGCUGGAGUGUCACGGUUAUGAUUCCCAUAGGGCUAUAUGAUGAAGGAGACGAUACCGCGCAAGUAACAGGAAUCAGGCGCGGUGCCUCAUGCCGACCGCAGGCGAUUCAUGGU
rnacentral:lncRNA from 1 species